UACAGAGGUCUCAAGCGUUGUUCGGAUUCAUUGGGCGUAAAGGGCACGCAGGCGGUGCGGCGCGUUUCGCGUGACAGCGGAGGGCUUAACUCUCCGAGGAUGCGAAAGACGGCGGCACUUGAGGGCCAGAGAGGGACACGGAAUUCCGGGGUGGAGUGGUGAAAUGCGUAGAGAUCCGGAGGAACACCGAAGGCGAAGGCAGUGUCCUGGCUGGUGACUGACGCUGAGGUGCGAAAGCUAGGGGAGCGAACGGG
rnacentral:rRNA from 1 species